rnacentral:hammerhead_ribozyme from 1 species
AUCCAGCUGACGAGUCCUAAAUAGAACGGAAAGCGUUUACUGGAU